UUCAUGUUCUGAAUGUGGGAAAUGUUUUAGCCAGAAAACAGGUCUUGUUAGACAUCAGACAACUCACACAGGAGAGAAGCCAUUUUCAUGUUCUGAAUGUGGGAAAUCUUUUAGGCAGAAAUCAUUUCUUGUGGAACAUUUAAGAAUUCACACAGGAGAGAAGCCAUGGCGGGUCUUGUUAGACAUCAGACAACUCACACAGGGGAAAAGCCAUUUUUAUGUUCUGAAUGUGGAAAGUGUUUUAGUCAGAAAUACUUUCUUUUGGAACAUCUAAGAACUCACACAGGAGAGAAGCCAUUUUCAUGCUCAGCAUGUGGAAAAUGUUUUACCCAUAAAUCAACUCUUCUUAAUCAUCAGAGAACUCAUGAUAGAGAAAAGGCAUUUUCAUGUUCACAAUGUGGGAAAUGUUUCAGCCAGAAAAGGGCUCUUGUUAAACAUCAUCAGAGAACUCACACAGGGAAAUAACCAUUUUCUUGUUCAGAAUGUGGGAAACUGGAAAUGGGUUCUUGU